rnacentral:rRNA from 1 species
UGGACCUACGGGGGGCAGCAGUGAGGAAUAUUGGUCAAUGGGCGAGAGCCUGAACCAGCCAAGUCGCGUGAGGGAAGACGGUCCUAUGGAUUGUAAACCUCUUUUGCCGGGGAGCAAAAAGCGGUACGUGUACCGCAUCGAGAGUACCCGGAGAAAAAGCAUCGGCUAACUCCGUGCCAGCAGCCGCGGUAAUACGGAGGAUGCGAGCGUUAUCCGGAUUUAUUGGGUUUAAAGGGUGCGCAGGCGGCGAGUUAAGUCAGCGGUAAAAUUUCGGGGCUCAACCUCGCUCCGCCGUUGAAACUGGG